UCUCCGUUGGUGAACCAGCGGAGGGAUCAUUACCGAGUUUACAACUCCCAAACCCCAAUGUGAACGUUACCAAUCUGUUGCCUCGGCGGGAUUCUCUUGCCCCGGGCGCGUCGCAGCCCCGGAUCCCAUGGCGCCCGCCGGAGGACCAACUCCAAACUCUUUUUUUCUCUCCGUCGCGGCUCCCGUCGCGGCUCUGUUUUAUUUUUGCUCUGAGCCUUUCUCGGCGACCCUAGCGGGCGUCUCGAAAAUGAAUCAAAAUUUCAACAACGGAUCUCUUGGUUCUGGCAUCGAUGAAGAACGCAGCGAAAUGCGAUAAGUAAUGUGAAUUGCAGAAUUCAGUGAAUCAUCGAAUCUUUGAACGCACAUUGCGCCCGCCAGAUUCUGGCGGGCAUGCCUGUCCGAGCGUCAUUUCAACCCUCGAACCCCUCCGGGGGGUCGGCGUUGGGGAUCGGCCCCUCACCGGGCCGCCCCCGAAAUACAGUGGCGGUCUCGCCCAGCCUCUCCUGCGCAGUAGUUUGCACACUCGCACCGGGAGCGCGGCGCGGCCACAGCCGUAAACACCCCAAACUUCUGAAAUGUGACCUCGGAUCAGGUAGGAAACUCCC
rnacentral:rRNA from 1 species